GCCCUCGUAGUUCAAUGGACAGAACGAGAGACUCCUAAGCUCUAGAUCCAAGUCCGAUUCUUGGCGAGGGCA
rfam:Parcubacteria bacterium GW2011_GWA1_49_11 TY36_C0009, whole genome shotgun sequence.